rnacentral:rRNA from 1 species
UACGUAGGGUGCAAGCGUUGUCCGGAAUUAUUGGGCGUAAAGAGCUCGUAGGCGGCUCAUUGCGUCAACCGUGAAAACCAGCAGCUCAACUGUUGGCUUGCGGUUGAUACGGGUGGGCUGGAGUUCGGUAGGGGAGACUGGAAUUCCUGGUGUAGCGGUGAAAUGCGCAGAUAUCAGGAGGAACACCGGUGCGAAGGCGGGUCUCUGGGCCGAUACUGACGCUGAGACGCGAAAGCGUGGGGAGCAAACAGG